rnacentral:lncRNA from 1 species
UAAAAGAGCAUUAAGUCAACCUUGAUCGGGUAUCACUGUAAUGGUGCAGCACUUAGGAGGCUCAGGAAGGAGGGCCUGAAGUUCAAGGUUGUCCUCAGAUAACGUAGUGAGGUCAUGGCUCUAAGGCUACAAGAGGCAAGUUGUAAGCUUAGUUUUCAAAACCUACUUUAUUUAGGGUUCUUAAACACUUCAACCCCCCUUCUAACCCACCAACCAGAAGUAGGGGGAAAGAAGGUCAAUAGGAAGAGGGGGCUGUGGACCUGUUAGAAGUAGUUCCCAUGUUUGUAGUCAGGAAACCAGCAGUCCAGCUCAAUAGCAAGCACCAGACACAAAUCAGUAGCUGCAGUACAAUGCAGCAGAAACACCAAGGCUCCCCAAAUCGGCAUGAAUCAGCAAAAGCAACCAGAAGCAGCCAUAACACCACAGGAAGGUCUUUGCAUAUUUCUCUCUACAAAGUAAAGACCACCAAAGAAGGGAAGCGUUGCACGGCAUAGCAAUUCAAGAGUGUCCUCUCACUGCCUUCGGGGUUCCAUUUACAUUCUUUCUAAACAUCACACGCACUCUCAAGUGUCCAUUUUCAGCAAAACAUCACAUGCCCUCUCACAAGACAGCUUCCAAAAACAUCUCGCAUGACACAACUGAGUUGUUAAACCAUAAAUGUCCACUUUACCCGAUAGUUUCUGCUCACCCCAAGAAAGACCACCUCAGGACUAGCCUGUGCAUAAUCAUGAGACCUGUGUCAAAAACAACAAAAAAAUCUAAAAUUAAAACAUGUAGGUGUUUGGGUUUUGGGGGAUGGGAAUUAGAUUGGUGUGUUUGCUCAUAUGUAUACAUACAUACAUGUAGAAGCCAGAGGUCAGCCUUAGGUGCUACACCUCAGUGGCAUUCAUCUUGGUUUUCGGCUCAAUGUAACUGAACUCUGAAUGGAACUCCCUAUGUAAACUCGGGUGAGUUUGAACUCGUAGGGAUCUGCCUGCCUUUGCCUCCUGAGUGUUGGGAAUAAAAGCGUGAGCCUGCA